GGGAGAUGGGCACAGGUGCUGUGGCCUAACCCUCAUGAGAUCACAGUGGUAACACCAAGGACAGAGGGGGAGAUGGGCACAGGCGCUGCGGCCCAACCCUCAUGAGAUCACAGCGGUAACACCAAGGACAGAGGGGGAGAUGGGCACGGGCGCUGCGGCCCAACCCUCAUGAGAUCACAGCGGUAACACCAAGGACAGUGGGGGAGAUGGGCACAGGCGCUACGGCCCGAUCCUCAUGAGAAGUGGCGCAGUGUUACGUGAAGGACGACUGUGUGUGGUGAGUUAAAAAUGUAAGUGAUGAACUCUGUGACAACCGCUGGAAAUGUUCAAAGGAAACAAGCGGAGUGUCCUGACUUCAGAGUCCCUGCUGUGACCCCUGGGGCUGGCCUGCUUCCUGGUGAGACCUUUGUGCCGAAGGACACGGGACUCUGUCAUACAGAGCUGUUAGCUCUGAAUUUUUCUUGGGAUGUGGGGACAAUCACGAAAGGCUUUUUAUCUUAUUUUUUACUUAUUUUAUUUUAUUUUAUUUUAUUUUAUUUUGAGACAAGGUCUCACUCUAUCACCCAGGCUGGAGUGCAGUGGUACAAUCAGGGCUCACUGCAGCCUCAAUCUCCUGGGCUCAAGCAAUCCUCCUGCUUCAGCCUCCUGAGCAGCUGGGACCACAGGUGCACACCACCACACCUGGCUAAUUUUUGUAUUUUUUGUAGAGACUGGGUCUCGCUUGCUGGUCUCAAAUUCCUGAGCUCUAAGCGAUCCUCCCACCUUGGUCCCUCCAAGUGCUGGGAUUAUAUCGGCAUGAGCCACCACACCAGGCCAGGGAAGGCUGUUUAAAGGUGACGUUUGAACGGUGUCAGAAAAGCGAGUCACUUUCCUGUUUUUGAGCAAUGGAGAGGGUGCAAUGCAUUCUUGUUUGAGAAGAUGGCUGAUCAAGGAUGCAGAGGUGAGAAAAGUAUGAGAAAAAGACAGCCUGCUCCUGCGUGGCAAGCCUCAGAAAAUGGCCAAAAUCUGGAAAUGCAGCUGGGGUCAGAGGUCAGGUCAAAGGUUGCCAUUGGAGGAGCCUAAACUCCUCCUGAAUUUUUCUUUCUCAUGCUGCAGACAUAAUUUUUAUUAACAUGGCAUCUCUGAGAGGCAGGCUGGAGACCUUCUGCUUUACAGAAAGGGACAUGGAGAACAGGAUUGCCUUACACACAAGACAUCUGGAAGCGGAAUUCAUAUCUAUUGAUACCCCAACCAAUGCAGUUCCCACGGGAUCAUCCGUAGAUACAUUCCAGGCAGUGGCCUCUCUCUGGUGACAGCACACUUCCUCCACCAGCUUGGAACCUGGCACCACCGUUUCCAGGCUGGCGUUUCUUGAACCUUCCUGUUUGCCUAGGCCGUAAUUGAGACAUCACCUUCGCUUCAUUCCUGAUCCACCCCAGGAGAAGUUUCAUCAUAGGAUCUUCACACCCUCAUUAAUCUCUCAUCUAAUGCAGAGUGACCUACCUCAUGCCCCAGCCAGCGGCUGCCCUUCCCACCUGGCCCCAAGCGGGACCCAUGGAGUCAAUUUUCUGGUGCAGAGCGAGAGGCUCCACUGACUGAAAUUGCUGGUUACCUGGUGGAAUCUGGC
rnacentral:lncRNA from 1 species